rnacentral:rRNA from 1 species
UACGUAGGGGGCGAGCGUUGUCCGGAAUCAUUGGGCGUAAAGAGCGUGUAGGCGGCUUGGCAAGUCUGACGUGAAAUCCCGCGGCUCAACCGCGGUAGGUCGUUGGAAACUGCCUCGCUAGAGUCCGGAAGAGGAGAGCGGAAUCCCUGGUGUAGCGGUGGAAUGCGCAGAUAUCAGGAAGAACACCCGUGGCGAAGGCGGCUCUCUGGGACGGUACUGACGCUGAGACGCGAAAGCGUGGGGAGCGAACAGG